UACUUUAUUGAAACUUCGGUCGAUUUAAUUUAAUUCUAGUGGCGGACGGGUGAGUAACGCGUGGGUAACCUGCCUUAUACAGGGGGAUAACAGUCAGAAAUGGCUGCUAAUACCGCAUAAGCGCACAGAGCUGCAUGGCUCGGUGUGAAAAACUCCGGUGGUAUAAGAUGGACCCGCGUUGGAUUAGCUGGUUGGUGGGGUAACGGCCCACCAAGGCGACGAUCCAUAGCCGGCCUGAGAGGGUGAACGGCCACAUUGGGACUGAGACACGACCCAGACUCCUACGGGAGGCAGCAGUGGGGAAUAUUGCACAAUGGGGGAAACCCUGAUGCAGCGACGCCGCGUGAAGGAAGAAGUAUCUCGGUAUGUAAACUUCUAUCAGCAGGGAAGAUAGUGACGGUACCUGACUAAGAAGCCCCGGCUAACUACGUGCCAGCAGCCGCGGUAAUACGUAGGGGGCAAGCGUUAUCCGGAUUUACUGGGUGUAAAGGGAGCGUAGACGGUGUGGCAAGUCUGAUGUGAAAGGCAUGGGCUCAACCUGUGGACUGCAUUGGAAACUGUCAUACUUGAGUGCCGGAGGGGUAAGCGGAAUUCCUAGUGUAGCGGUGAAAUGCGUAGAUAUUAGGAGGACACCAGUGGCGAAGGCGGCUUACUGGACGGU
rnacentral:rRNA from 1 species